rnacentral:rRNA from 1 species
AGAGCGAACGCUGGCGGCAUGCUUAACACAUGCAAGUCUCACGGGCAGCAAUGUCAGUGGCGGACGGGUGAGUAACGCGUAGGUAUCUAUCCAUGGGUGGGGGAUAACGUCGGGAAACUGACGCUAAUACCGCAUGACAUCUGAGGAUCAAAGGCGCGAGUCGCCUGUGGAGGAGCCUGCGUACGAUUAGCUAGUUGGUGGGGUAAAGGCCUACCAAGGCGACGAUCGUUAGCUGGUCUGAGAGGAUGAUCAGCCACACUGGGACUGAGACACGGCCCAGACUCCUACGGGAGGCAGCAGUGGGGAAUAUUGGACAAUGGGCGAAAGCCUGAUCCAGCAAUGCCGCGUGUGUGAAGAAGGUCUUCGGAUUGUAAAGCACUUUCGGCGGGGACGAUGAUGACGGUACCCGCAGAAGAAGCCCCGGCUAACUUCGUGCCAGCAGCCGCGGUAA